rnacentral:snoRNA from 1 species
UUGCAGGCCUCCAGCGUGCCGGGGUCUGGAGUAGCCCUGUGCAUUCCUGCAGUGCUUGCAAGAAUAGUAUUGAAGUGGUUUGAGGGCUUGUUCUACAGCAUCUACAGAGCAAGGUUAUAGAAAUUUCAGAUGGUU